AGUGAACGCUGGCGGUAGGCCUAACACAUGCAAGUCGAACGGCAGCACAGUAAGAGCUUGCUCUUACGGGUGGCGAGUGGCGGACGGGUGAGAAAGACACCGGAAUCUACUUUGUCGUUGGGGAUGACGUAGGGAAACUAACGCUAAUACCGCAUACGACCUACGGGUGAAAGCAGGUGAUCUUCGGACCUUGCGCGAUUGAAUGAGCCGAUGUCGGAUUAGCUAGUUGGCGGGGUAAAGGCCCACCAAGGCGACGAUCCGUAGCUGGUCUGAGAGGAUGAUCAGCCACACUGGAACUGAGACACGGUCCAGACUCCUACGGGAGGCAGCAGUGGGGAAUAUUGGACAAUGGGCGCAAGCCUGAUCCAGCCAUACCGCGUGGGUGAAGAAGGCCUUCGGGUUGUAAAGCCCUUUUGUUGGGAAAGAAAAGCAGCAGGUUAAUACCCCGCUGUUCUGACGGUACCCAAAGAAUAAGCACCGGCUAACUUCGUG
rnacentral:rRNA from 1 species